AUGACGACGAGUUUGAUCAUGGCUCAGAAUGAACGCUGGCGGCAGGCCUAACACAUGCAAGUCGAACGGGUACCUUCGGGUGCUAGUGGCGGACGGGUGAGUAACGCGUGGGAACAUACCCAAAGGUACGGAAUAGCCUCGGGAAACUGAGAGUAAUACCGUAUGUGCCCUUCGGGGGAAAGAUUUAUCGCCUUUGGAUUGGCCCGCGUUGGAUUAGGUAGUUGGUGGGGUAAUGGCCUACCAAGCCGACGAUCCAUAGCUGGUUUGAGAGGAUGAUCAGCCACACUGGGACUGAGACACGGCCCAGACUCCUACGGGAGGCAGCAGUGGGGAAUCUUAGACAAUGGGGGAAACCCUGAUCUAGCCAUGCCGCGUGAUCGAUGAAGGCCUUAGGGUUGUAAAGCUCUUUUACCCGAGAUGAUAAUGACAGUAUCGGGAGAAUAAGCUCCGGCUAACUCCGUG
rnacentral:rRNA from 1 species